UGUUUAUGAGAGAGUGUAAGAAAGUAAUUAAAUAUUGAUAUGUGGUGAUUUCAUUUCCUCCUUAAGUCUGGUAACGCAAAUGUCUCAGCAUAAAGAUAAUGUGGCACUGAAAUGGCUCUGAGCAGCUGAAGUGAUCAUGUAAUAAGUGAACUUCAGAAUAUUUUACCAGGAUAUCAGCAUUUGAGAUGAAUGUGCGAGCUGUGCAUGAGUCAGAUAAAGGACAAACGUGGAAAUCUUAGUUACAAAGAAUGCAAUUACAGAAAGAUGGAGGGAGUAUUCUAAUGAGCUCUUUAAUGGUGAAAUGGAUAAAGGCAAGCAAACAGCAGAUUUCCAGCCAGCUGAGCUAUUUGUAGAAGAAUCAAGAGGCAAUCAGGACACCCAGGAACAAUACGGCACCAGUGAUAUAAAAGAAAUUUCAAGCGUACCAAAAGAAUGCAUCCAAUGUUGUUCCAGUCAAACAGGAAUAAAGAAAUCUUGAGUGCUGAAGUUAAGAGACCUUACUGGAAACUAAGCAAAGACAGGCAUGGUGCUGCCAGCAGCCUUGCUGAGGUUCCCUACUGAAUCC
rnacentral:lncRNA from 1 species